GUAGGACUUCCCGAUCGCAGCGGCCAGUCUCGCCGCGAGUCCCAACUGUCUCUUCCCCAGUCCCCAGCCUUUCAGCAGUCCCGAUAUUAGAGGAUUCCCAACAUUUCAGCUGUCUUCUGGACAACCUUUGGAGCUGCCACUGGCAGCGCACAGCCACGCGGCCAAAGUGGAACCCAGCAUCCCUCAAACAAGUGCCUUCUUCCAGGAUUCUCAGUUUUCUAACGGGAUACCACCAUCCACUCUGGUGUGCCCACACCAGGUAGUUGAGAUCAACAAGUGCUGACGUCGCCGUUGUGCCAGCCCCAUUCCUGGACUUAACGGGUGCAGAACUGAGGCAUCUACUGUAUGACACUGUUCUCGCCAGACCCCUGGACUGAAGUCUGAGUGUUAUCCGAGCAAGAUCAGGGUGAAACAGAAGAGGAAAGAAUGAACAAUUAUUGUGUACCCACCACACGUGACAGGCAUGGGCUAGGAACUUUAUAUGUGUCAUCUCUUUAAACCUUCACAAAAACUUUACAAAGUUGACUAGCAGACUACGUGACACCUCUCUGCUCACACAGCCCAUGCAGGGUUUGGGAUUUGAGUUCAUGUCUGACGGAGUCCAAAGUGCUACUUUUCGGUUGGCCACACAGCCUCCUAAAGACACUCAGGGGUUAGGAUGGAGGGCUGAGCUCUGAGUUCUUUUUCUCUCUUCAUUUUGGGGAGUGUACUUCUGACUCUGGGCUUUAGUUUACUGCACUGGUGAAUAGAAAUGGAGACGUUUAGGGCCAGGAUGUCCACCCUCUCCCUUUGCUAGUCCUCUGGAUCUUUUCCUGGCAAUCCUCUUCCCCUUCCCUUGAGUUGGACUGGUACUACGCCAGACUCCUUCCCUCUCCCUGAGCAAGCGCCCCACUGCCCUACCUUUCCUCCAACAACCUGCUUACCUCCAAGUGUGCUUGGUUCCCCCAGACACAGGAGACUGGCGAAGGGCCCACCUUGGAGAGGAGAGUCUGAGCCCUGAGCCGCUGGCAGCCGGGCUCCCGCCCAGCCCAUCCGCUCUGCUCUGCCUUCAUCCCUCCCUGUUUCCACAGCCCGCCCCCAACGAUUUCCUCCCUUCUUAGUCACUCGCUGCCUAGUGAUCCAUGGGUUUUAAAUUAUAACUGGGACCCAGGAAACGCGUUCCUAAGUACAAUAUUCAUGGGCUGGGCUGACACUUUUAAUUAAGGUGAUUUACACUGAAUUAUCCUUGGAAAUAAAGAAAUGGUGUGCAGCCCAGGAAUAAACCAUCAUCACCAGCCGCCUUUAAAACCGUGAUUGGUGCCUCUGCUGAGCGUGGGACGGGAAGAGUUAACAUGCUGACAGAUGGCAUUUUUUACCUUCAGUCAAUACGAACAAGGCCCCAAGACUACGAUUCCAAACAUCUGGAUUUCAUCAAUAUGUGAUCUGUCAUCGUAUAUUGGCAUUCCCCAGUCCCCGCGCCAGAGCAAUGCGGCUGGUUUUAUUAAUACGUCAAAUACAUUAUCCGUGUAAUACACUUGUCUGGCUGGGGCCUCCCGCUGGGGCGGG